rnacentral:rRNA from 1 species
GAGCGGCGGAUGGGUGAGUAACACGUGGGUAACCUGCCCUAAAGUGGGGGAUAACAUUUGGAAACAAGUGCUAAUACCGCAUAACAACAUUUACCACAUGGUUUAUGUUUAAAAGAUGGUUUUGCUAUCACUUUAGGAUGGACCCGCGGCGUAUUAGUUAGUUGGUGAGGUAAUGGCUCACCAAGACCGUGAUACGUAGCCGACCUGAGAGGGUAAUCGGCCACAUUGGGACUGAGACACGGCCCAAACUCCUACGGGAGGCAGCAGUAGGGAAUCUUCCACAAUGGACGAAAGUCUGAUGGAGCAACGCCGCGUGAGUGAAGAAGGUUUUCGGAUCGUAAAACUCUGUUGUUGAAGAAGAACAUGCGUGAGAGUAACUGUUCACGUAUUGACGGUAUUCAACCAGAAAGCCACGGCUAACUACGUGCCAGCAGCCGCGGUAAUACGUAAAUGGCAAGCGUUGUCCGGAUUUAUUGGGCGUAAAGCGAGCGUAGGCGGUUUAUUAAGUCUGAUGUGAAAGCCCUCGGCUCAACCGAGGAAGUGCAUCGGAAACUGGUAAACUUGAGUGCAGAAGAGGAGAGUGGAACUCCGUGUGUAGCGGUGGAAUGCGUAGAUAUAUGGAAGAACACCAGUGGCGAAGGCGGCUCUCUGGUCUGUAACUGACGCUGAGGUUCGAAAGCGUGGGUAGCAAACAGGAUUAGAUACCCUGGUAGUCCACGCCGUAAACGAUGAGUGCUAAGUGUUGGAGGGUUUCCGCCCUUCAGUGCUGCAGCUAACGCAUUAAGCACUCCGCCUGGGGAGUACGACCGCAAGGUUGAAACUCAAAGGAAUUGACGAGGGCCCGCACAAGCGGUGGAGCAUGUGGUUUAAUUCGAAGCAACGCGAAGAACCUUACCAGGUCUU